rnacentral:rRNA from 1 species
GUAGGGAAUAUUGCACAAUGGAGGAAACUCUGAUGCAGCGACGCCGCGUGAGGGAAGAAGGCCUUAGGGUCGUAAACCUCUGUUGUGUGGGAAGAAGAGCGUGACGGUACCACACGAGGAAGUCCCGGCUAACUACGUGCCAGCAGCCGCGGUCAUACGUAGGGUGCAAGCAUUAUCCGGAGUGACUGGGCGUAAAGAGUUGCGUAGGCGGUUAUGUAAGCGAAUAGUGAAACCUGGUGGCUCAACCACACAGACUAUUAUUCGAACUGCAUAACUCGAGAAUGGUAGAGGUAACUGGAAUUUCUUGUGUAGGAGUGAAAUCCGUAGAUAUAAGAAGGAACACCAAUGGCGUAGGCAGGUUACUGGGCCAUUUCUGACGCUAAGGCACGAAAGCGUGGGGAGCGAACCGGAUUAGAAACCCCAGUAGUCC